rnacentral:rRNA from 1 species
GACGAACGCUGGCGGCGUGCCUAAUACAUGCAAGUCGAGCGGACCUCUUCGGAGGUCAGCGGCGGACGGGUGAGUAACACGUGGGCAACCUGCCUGUAAGACUGGGAUAACACCGGGAAACCGGUGCUAAUACCGGAUAAUCCCUUUCUUCACAUGGGGAAAAGCUGAAAGACGGUUUCGGCUGUCACUUACAGAUGGGCCCGCGGCGCAUUAGCUAGUUGGUGAGGUAACGGCUAACCAAGGCGACGAUGCGUAGCCGACCUGAGAGGGUGAUCGGCCACACUGGGACUGAGACACGGCCCAGACUCCUACGGCAGGCAGCAGUAGGGAAUCUUCCGCAAUGGACGAAAGUCUGACGGAGCAACGCCGCGUGAGCGAAGAAGGCCUUCGGGUCGUAAAGCUCUGUUGUCAGGGAAGAACACGUACCGGAGUAACUGCCGGUACCUUGACGGUACCUGACCAGAAAGCCACGGCUAACUACGUGCCAGCAGCCGCCGUAA